rnacentral:piRNA from 1 species
UCUUUAUAGGUUUCAUUUCUG